CUGUAUGUUUGCACAGGACUCACGUG
rnacentral:piRNA from 1 species